AUGGAUGAGGUCACAAGGGAUAUACAAGGAGAUAUCCCAUGGUGUAUGCUCUUUGCGGAUGAUGUUGUGCUAGUUGACGAUAGUCGGACGGGGGUAAAUAGGAAGUUAGAGUUAUGGAGACAAACCUUGGAAUCAAAAGGGUUUAGGCUUAGUAGAACUAAAACCGAGUACAUGGUGUGCGGUUUCAGUACUACUAGGUGUGAGGAGGAGGAGGUUAGCCUGGUUGGCCAGGUGGUACCUCAGAAGGACACCUUUCGGUAUUUGGGGUCAAUGCUGCAGGAGGAUGGGGGUAUUGAUGAAGAUGUGAACCAUCAAAUCAAAGCCGGAUGGAUGAAGUGGCGCCAAGCUUCUGGCAUUCUCUGUGACAAGAGAGUGCCACAAAAGCUAAAAGGCAAGUUCUACAGGACGGCGGUUCGACCCGCAAUGUUGUAUGGCGCUGAGUGUUGGCCGACUAAAAGGCGACAUGUUCAACAGUUAGGUGUGGCGGAGAUGCGUAUGUUGAGAUGGAUGUGUGGCCACACGAGGAAGGAUCGAGUCCGGAAUGAUGAUAUACGAGAUAGAGUUGGGGUAGCACCAAUUGAAGAGAAGUUUGUCCAACAUCGUCUGAGAUGGUUUGGGCAUAUUCAGCGCAGGCCUCCAGAAGCUCCAGUGCAUAGUGGUCGGCUAAAACGUGCGGAGAAUGUCAAAAGAGGGUGGGGUAGACCGAAUUUGACAUGGGAGGAGUCCGUUAAGAGAGACAUGAAGGAUUGGAGUAUCACCAAAGAGCUAGCUAUGGACAGGGGUGCGUGGAAGCUUGCUAUCCAUGUGCCAGAGCCAUGA
rnacentral:rRNA from 1 species